rnacentral:rRNA from 1 species
AGCUUGCUUCAAUUGCCGGCGACCGGCGCACGGGUGAGUAACGCGUAUCCAACCUUCCGCUUACUCGGGGAUAGCCUUUCGAAAGAAAGAUUAAUACCCGAUGGUAUCUUAAGCACGCAUGAGAUUAAGAUUAAAGAUUCAUCGGUAAGCGAUGGGGAUGCGUUCCAUUAGGCAGUUGGCGGGGUAACGGCCCACCAAACCUACGAUGGAUAGGGGUUCUGAGAGGAAGGUCCCCCACAUUGGAACUGAGACACGGUCCAAACUCCUACGGGAGGCAGCAGUGAGGAAUAUUGGUCAAUGGGCGAGAGCCUGAACCAGCCAAGUAGCGUGAAGGAUGACGGCCCUACGGGUUGUAAACUUCUUUUGUGCGGGAAUAAAGGAACCUACGUGUAGGUUUUUGCAUGUACCGUAACGAAUAAGCAUCGGCUAACUCCGUGCCAGCAGCCGCGGUAAUACGGAGGAUGCGAGCGUUAUCCGGAUUUAUUGGGUUUAAAGGGAGCGUAGACGGGUUUUUAAGUCAGCUGUGAAAGUUUGGGGCUCAACCUUAAAAUUGCAGUUGAAACUGGAGACCUUGAGUACGGUUGAGGCAGGCGGAAUUCGUGGUGUAGCGGUGAAAUGCUUAGAUAUCACGAAGAACCCCGAUUGCGAAGGCAGCCUGCUAAGCCGCCACUGA